AGAACUACCCCCGAAAUUUAACCUUAUCAUUAACCGGAAGAAAA
rnacentral:rRNA from 1 species